AGAGCAGAAGAUUUCAUUGAGGCACGUCUGCAGUGAAUGUGAUAAAGUUUCCUUGAUGUUGUAGAUGACAGACGGAAGAAAUCAUUCCUCAUGUCCUACACAGAGCACCCAGAAGAUGUGGAUGUGAUCACAGGAAAAAUGUGCAAACUCCACAAAGACAGCACAUGAGGGGCUGCCUGAUCAGCUGAGUUUUUCCAGUACUUUUUGGUUUUGCCACCACAGUAGCAUAGCGGUUGGAGCAACGCUGACAGCUCGGGGCGUUGGAGUUCAGAGUUCAAUUCUGGC